rnacentral:rRNA from 1 species
AGUGAACGCUGGCGGUAGGCCUAACACAUGCGAGUCGAACGGCAGCACAGUAAGAGCUUGCUCUUACGGGUGGCGAGUGGCGGACGGGUGAGGAAUACAUCGGAAUCUACUUUUUCGUGGGGGAUAACGUAGGGAAACUUACGCUAAUACCGCAUACGACCUACGGGUGAAAGCAGGGGAUCUUCGGACCUUGCGCGAUUGAAUGAGCCGAUGUCGGAUUAGCUAGUUGGCGGGGUAAAGGCCCACCAAGGCGACGAUCCGUAGCUGGUCUGAGAGGAUGAUCAGCCACACUGGAACUGAGACACGGUCCAGACUCCUACGGGAGGCAGCAGUGGGGAAUAUUGGACAAUGGGCGCAAGCCUGAUCCAGCCAUACCGCGUGGGUGAAGAAGGCCUUCGGGUUGUAAAGCACUUUUGUUGGGAAAGAAAAGCAGCAGGUUAAUACCCCGCUGUUCUGACGGUACCCAAAGAAUAAGCACCGGCUAACUUCGUG